GUACCCCCUUUGUGUGUGUGUGCAUCCUUUAUGAUGUAGGAUAUGUAUGCACACACUUCUGUGUUUGCUUGGCUGUGUGGAGAGGGGAAAGAGCAUUUGAAAAUCCAGAUGAAAUCGCUCAUGGCGAUCCUUCCAAAGUCAUACACUCAUUCAUAGUCUUGUCUUUUAUUUAUAUUUGUAAUCUGAAAUCAAUUAUGCAACUUUCUAGUAUUGAAAGGAUGAAUUAUUCCUACCAUUUUUAGGAAAAAAAGUUUCAAGAGAUCCCAUUGACCAUGGCUUUGAGCACCAGAUUGGCUUCCUCUUCUUUUGGAAAUGAUCUAGACGCCACAGGAGAAUUGAAGCAAAGCUCUCACAUUGUAUUUUCCACUAAUGAGUGGACUGGCAAUUCAACAGAUGGUGUCACGACUGCUAACAGCAUCUGAUAUUGCUGAGGGUCCCCCUAGGAUAAAGUCCAGAAAGUAUUACGAGGUUCUAGCAGGACUGCAACACAGAAAAGGCCUUUGUGAAACCAUAUUUUCUGAAACAACACUGCUUGUGUGCCACAGUGAAUACAAGGAUCUAAUAGUAGGGAAGGCAAGAAAAAUCCUCUGAUGUGUGGCCUUAGGAAAGCAAUGCAUUGCAAAAUACAGAGGCACUAUGGCUACAGAAAGCAUGACAUGGAUGUGCUAUGGUGGGGCCACUAACUUAAAGGUUGAAGGUUUGACUCCACAGAGGCGCCUCAGAAGGAAGGGGAUAGUGAUUUACUUCUGAAUGGUCAGCCAAUGCGUACACACACAAGGCCGCCAGGAGUCAGCAUGAACUCCACUGUGGUGGCAGGCUUACUGAGAGGGUGAGUUUAGGAGGCUUGCUGUAAGCUUGGAACACCAUCUUUCUUGGAAAGUCUUCACAGACAGUAGGGUAUUCAUGAUGUUAGGAAGAGAAAGUGUUUGAGGAUACUAGGGAGGGGGGAUUAUGAAUUAUGUUAAUUUCAGAAGCCUCUGACAGGCUUAUUUUCAGAUUUUUUUUAAAAAAAUAGAGAUUGGUGCUCACUCAGAGUCAAAGGAAAUUGUGUGGGGAGGUAUCUUUGUUUAACAUCUGUCUGUCAUCUAACACCGCUCCCACCCCACAGGGAGGAAGGAAAGUCUGCCUGAGAGCUGAGUUUACCUCCUUAAGGGUCUAAAGAGCAUUUUCAAAGAAAGGGCAGAUAACAGCUUCCUGUCUGGGAGAGAUUACUGAGAAACUUUCGGGCAAAGUUCUUUACUCUUUUGGGUGAUCAGCCUGUACGGGCAUCAGCAGAGGAUGCGCGCUUCCAAUCGGGAUGACCUGCCAAGUUCGAAGGAACAUUGAAAGACCACCUGAAAUCUCCAACAUCGCGGAAAGGCUUUAAUGUCAAGACUAGUUGAGGCAGAGAUUGAAAAUGGAUUCCCGACGUCCCUUACUGUCUGAAAGACUGUGGAGCCAUGCGAUCCUAGGAUUGCCAGGGAAUCAGUUCCUUCCUUUCAUCUCGUGGAAGACACCGGCUUCCCUUGGAGCUCCUGUAGUUUCCAUUCCAGACCAUAAAUAAAGCAUUGAAGUGAGCCAUA